rnacentral:tRNA from 1 species
UCCACAGUAGCUCAGUGGUAGAGCUAUCGGCUGUUAACCGAUCGGUCGUAGGUUCGAGUCGUACCUGUGGAGCCA